rnacentral:rRNA from 1 species
AUUUUGGGCAAUGGGCGAAAGCCUGACCCAGCAACGCCGCGUGAGGGAUGAAGUAUUUCGGUAUGUAAACCUCGAAAGAAUGGGAAGAAUAAAUGACGGUACCAUUUAUAAGCUCCGGCUAACUACGUGCCAGCAGCCGCGGUAAUACGUAGGGAGCAAGCGUUGUUCGGAUUUACUGGGCGUAAAGGGCGCGUAGGCGGCGCGGUAAGUCACUUGUGAAAUCUCUGAGCUUAACUCAGAACGGCCAAGUGAUACUGCUGUGCUAGAGUGCGGAAGAGNCAACCGGAAUUCUUGGUGUAGCAGUGAAAUGCGUAGAGAUCAAGAGGAACACCUGAGGCGAAGGCGGGUUGCUGGGCCGACACUGACGCUGAUGCGCGAAAGCCAGGGG